GAAAAAAACGACGUGAUGGGGAAACGCUCAGCUCGCUACAAUAUUUUUAACAGCCUCUCAGUCCUCGCCUUUUUUUAAUUUCCUAAUAUGUUCUUUGCUUUAUUAGUUUUAUUUACAACCAGCUCCCCAUUAACACCUCACCUGAUUACUGAGGAGCUGAGACAGCUAAUCAAGAAAAUCCAGCAAACCAGCCAAAAUCGAGAGGGAUCCUCUGCUAGGAGCAAGGAACAACCUCCAUCUACUGGCUAGAUCAUUGCGUCUCUUCUCCAUUCAAAACCCAUCCCUCAUCACUCAUUAAGGAGGGUACAAUUUUGGAAGAAGCUUCUAAGGUCUCAAGAUUACCGGGAGCUACAAGCACAUUGGAGGUUUGGGGAGUUUUAAUCCGAUGCCGGUAACGCUUAAAACACCCAGCGCUUGUGUCCCUCGCACCGCCAGCCCCGCGCAGCCUGGCAGGGGAGCAGAGGGGCUGGUGCCCGAGUCUGGCUGCCAUGCACCGCCUUUAACAUGUCCCUAGCACAGCGAUCCCAAAGUUGCUUUACGGAACACUCGAGAGGACUCAAGGGAGAAGAAAGAUG